rnacentral:rRNA from 1 species
AACAAAAACAUGUCCUUUAGGAUUGAAUUUAAGGUUUAACCUGCCCACUGAUUGAUAUUAAAUGGCCGCAGUAUUUUGACUGUGCAAAGGUAGCAUAAUCAUUAGUUUUUUAAUUGAAAGCUUGUAUGAAUGGUUGGACGAGAUAUAGACUGUCUUUAAAUUAUAAAUAGAAUUUAAUUUUUAAGUUAAAAAGCUUAAAUGUUAUUAAAAGACGAGAAGACCCUAUAGAUCUUUAUAAAUAAUUUUAUUAAAUUUUUUAGGAUUAAUAAUUAUUUAAUUUGAUUAUUUAUUUUAUUGGGGUAAUAGAAAGAUAAAAUAAAUUCUUUUUUUUGUUUACAUAUAUAAUUGGUUAUUUUGAUCCAAUAUUAUUGAUUAUAAGAUUAAGUUACCUUAGGGAUAACAGCGUAAUUUUUUUAGAGAGUUCAUAUCGAUAAGAAAGUUUGCGACCUCGAUGUUG